rnacentral:rRNA from 1 species
GACGAACGCUGGCGGCGUGCCUAAUACAUGCAAGUUGAGCGAUGAAGCUUGGUGCUUGCACCAAUUUGAAGAGCAGCGAACGGGUGAGUAACGCGUGGGGAAUCUGCCUUUGAGCGGGGGACAACAUUUGGAAACGAAUGCUAAUACCGCAUAAUAACUUUAAACAUAAGUUUUAAGUUUGAAAGAUGCAAUUGCAUCACUCAAAGAUGAUCCCGCGUUGUAUUAGCUAGUUGGUGAGGUAAAGGCUCACCAAGGCGAUGAUACAUAGCCGACCUGAGAGGGUGAUCGGCCACAGUGGGACUGAGACACGGCCCAAACGCCUACGGGAGGCAGCAGUAGGGAAUCUUCGGCAAUGGACGAAAGUCUGACCGAGCAACGCCGCGUGAGUGAAGAAGGGUUUCGGAUCGUAAAACUCUGUUGGUAGAGAAGAACGUUGGUGAGAGUGGAAAGCUCAUCAAGUGACGGUAACUACCCAGAAAGGGACGGCUAACUACGUG